AACAUAUUCUAAAAAAUUCCCCACAUCCAAUUUAGGGAUUGAUUUAGCUUUGGAAAAAUAUGUGAUCUAGAUAAUUUGCUUAUCAAUAUGCCUACUAUUCGAAUCAUUCUGUUUUCAAUUUUUUACUUAGAUUGGAGAGUAUGAUGGCAUGAAUAGAGAAAGUAUUUUGCUGCUGAAUUCAUAAUUAUUUUGUACUCUAGCAAACAUGAUCCAAGUUGUUAUUAACAAAGUUCAACUACCAAAAUUACCUUAUUUAAGCAGUAUUCAUAGGAUAUCUAGUUGAAGUAUCUAAACUGAAAAGAGGUUCAACAACAUAACUAAG
rnacentral:misc_RNA from 1 species